UUGGUCAUCCUGAGUCUGCUCUAGGAUAUGCAGAUUUCCCUUUUUGGUUGGCCAGACCACAGGCCUCCUUUUCUUUUGUUUACAGGCACACUCAAUGUGUCCCUUUUUGCCACAGUGUCGACACACCAGGUCCUUACACUAGCAUUCUGAUGCAUGGUGACCCGGCUUACCACAGGGGUAACAUUCCUGACUCCCCACAGUUUUGUGGGUAGAUUCUUGUGACACCUCAUGCACCCUAGGGGAUGCACCGAUGGAUUGUGCCUCCUUUGUAGCCAGUUCCAUGUAGACAGCAAUAUCAAUGGCCUUCUGUAAGGGAGACAAGGGGCU